rnacentral:rRNA from 1 species
GAUGAACGCUAGCUACAGGCUUAACACAUGCAAGUCGAGGGACCGGCGCACGGGUGAGUAACACGUAUCCAACCUGCCCUUUACUCGGGGAUAGCCUUUCGAAAGAAAGAUUAAUACCCGAUAUAAAGGAUGGGGAUGCGUUCCAUUAGGUUGUUGGUGAGGUAACGGCUCACCAAGCCUUCGAUGGAUAGGGGUUCUGAGAGGAAGGCCCCCCACAUUGGAUCGGAGACUCAGUCCAAAAUACUAAGUCAGGCAGGAGUUAGGAACAUUGGGCAAUGGUCGCGAGCCUGACCCAGCAAAGUAACUUGAAGGAUGAAGGCUUAUGGGUCGUAAACUUCUUUUAUAUAAGAAUAUGUAUUAUAUGAAUAAGGAUCGGCUAACUCCGUGCCAGCAGCCGCGGUAAUUC